rnacentral:lncRNA from 1 species
CCAGCUCUUUUUCUGCGAUCCGACUGGCUAUGUUGAUGCUGAGCUUCCUCAACUUGGUCAGCUUGGCCAACUGAUGGAGAUGACAAACAUGUUUGUCAUCAGGCCCACUGAUCAGUAAAAACCCCUUGAGCACUUCCAGAUCGGAGAGGUUGGCGAUGCUCUUGGGCAUCUUGUUGAGCCGGAAGCACUCCGACACGUCCAGGUACUGCAGCUUCUUGGCGGACCCGAUCGCCUCAGGCAACUUCUCCAGAUUGUGGCACGCCCGGAGGUCCAACACCACCAGCUUUGUGAGCUUGCCGAUGGAGUCGGGAAGCGUUUCCACCCUCGAUACGCCUCUGAGGCUCAUGUACCGCAAGCUCUUGCAGUUAUGGAGCCCCUUCAAGAACUCCUCGUUCUUGACCACGAUAUCGUUCUUCUGGUCCGAGUCCUGCCACCGCCCCAGCUGCAUUGUGGUCAUCUCGCCCUUGUUGACCAGCCAUGUGGGUUCGAAGUCGACGUAGCGCUUGUCGACGUUGUAGAUGGUGAGCAGUCGACGUCCCGCAUCGUCGCCGAUGGGGUUUUGUUCGAGGCGCAAGCACGCACGGCGACUCCAGGAGUAGUCGUUGCUGGGGCGGCCGUCCCGGUCGAAAUCGAGGAAGCCGUUGCUCUUGGCGACGGUGAUCAACAGCCUGCGAAUCCACGACUGUAUCCUGAAGUAGUGCACCUUGUCACAGUGCUUCUUCUUGAUGGUUAUGAUCAGGCCCUUGGAGACGAGUUGGUCGAAGCAUUUCUUCCCUUCCCUAGAACUCGUCACUAUUGUCUCGCCCAUCCACCAGUGGAUCAGCAGCCUCUUCUUGAGGAUAGCUUUCGCCGGGAAGACGGUGAGGCAGAAGAGGCAAUGCUUCAGCUGAGUCUCGAAGCUGUCGACCACAAGCAAAAGGUGCGCCCAAGCGGAGCUCUCUUGGAUCUGCCACUCCAGUGGGAGCACUUUUUCUUCCUCGCCCUCCUUCCCCUCAGCCUUGGAUUCCUGUUCACCCGACGAAUCCUUUGACUUCUCCUCUGAACUCUCGAGUAUUGCAAUGAUUUUGUCGAGCUUUUCGAGUGGGCUCUCUGUUUUCGAGGAAUUCGACGUCUUGAAGGUGAUUUCCGGUCCCAACAAUUCGUCGACUUGCCUGGCGACGAGUGCAAAUUUAUUUAUGGCGGCGUCUUCUUUGCCCUUGGAUUCCCGCAACUCUUUUCUCAGCUCCUCCAUUUUUUUCUUGAUAUCGUCGAUCUUCGUAGCAACAACCUGGGAAGAAGCACCCUUCGGAUCGGGGACGAGGAGGCCUUUGGUUUCUUCCAAACGCUUCAGCAACCGAGACACUACUUCGACGCUGGAUCCGCCGCACGGGAACAUGGUCGGAAGCAAGAAAUGAGGCACAGGAGAAGGUUGGGGUUAUGGUGGCUUCGUGUUACGUCUGCAACUCAUAUAGCUGCAUCGGCAUAAUCUACGUGAGGCACAAGGAAGAGAAAAGGAAUAUAAAAAAAAUAGAGAGAAUAAAGAGAAAAGAGAAAGAGAAAAGAGAAAGAGGGGAGAAUAAAAAAAGAGAAAUAUAUUUUAAUAAUAACAAUAGCUUAGAUUUAACAUAUAUAUAUAUAUAUAUGAAUAUUAAAAAUUGAAAAGGAAAAGAAAUAAAAGGAACAAACACACAAAAAGCAAAAGAGAAAAAAAAAACAUGGACAAAGAAAAAAAUAGAAAAAGAAAAAGAAAAAAAGAGAAAGUUUAGGUUGCACAUUAUUACUCCACCUACCGGAGGCAGCACAUCUUCUUCAAUACUCUCAUUGCAAAGCAACACACCAUAUCUCAAUCAAAAUUCUGAUGUACGGUUCAUUUCAUUGAGUAAAAAAGAACUGGGCAUGGGCAUCAGCAAGAUUGCAUCAGGAAUAUAUAUAUAUAUAUAUAUAUAUUUAUUUAUUUAUUUAUACAUAUAUAUGUAUACAUAUAUACACAUAUAUAUAUAUAUAUAUGUAUAUAUAUAUAUAUAUAUAUAUGCAUACACAUGUAUAUACAUAUGCAUACACAUGUAUAUACAUAUGCAUACACAUGUAUAUACAUAUACAUACAUAUGUAUAUAUAUAUCGGGUCGAGAACUCCCCGUCUUGUUAUGGCCUUCGUGCAAGGUGAUACUUUAAGGAGCACAAUAUUUCAAUUUCGGAAGUUAUCUCGAAUCCAACUCGGAAGCUAUCUCAAAUUUACGUCAUAGUCACAUCGGAUCUAUCUUGAAUCUAUCUUAGAGCUGCCUCAUAUUCUUUUUGAAGUAUAACAUUCCUUUGUCAUGAAUAUCUCGAACAUUUUUGCGCACAUGAGUUUUGACUAAGUUGGGGUGAUUAAGAGGUCAAUAACUUUUUCCCAUAAUAGUUUGGUAUUAGAAGGAGACCCGAUAUUAUAGAAAUAUCUAUCUACCCAUCCUCUUAAUGAAUGCUCCAAUGAGGAGGCAUCGUCUCUAAUCUACAACACUUUUAUUUAGAAAGAACAACCAUCAUUCCUCUCAUGGGUAGAUGUGUCCAUCUCGAUAAAAAUGCCAACAGGACACUCAAGUCACUUAUUUGUUCUGUUCCUAAGCUUUGCCAAUUAGAUGUAGAUGCUUAAGGGCGUAUUGCAAGUUCUUACUUUGCUCUUACCUCAAUUAGUCCAACAUAUGCUAUUGCCAUCUCAACUACAUAAUAUUUAAUUAAUUUUUAAAAUAUAAUUUUAUCAAACAAUACUUAUGUUAAUACAUAUUUAAAAUAUAGUUUUCAUCUAUUAUUUUUCAAAUACUCAAAGUAUUUUAUAAUUAUACAUUAUUCAAACCCUUUUCUCCAAAUAUACUUGAAAAAUAUAUUUUCCCAAACAAAUACACUCUAUAUCCAUUAGGAUAUCUAUGACACUCUUGAUAUACUUAUACAUUAUAUGAUAAUCCUUUUAUUACAAGUUGGCUAGAUUGCUAUGGAAUUCAUAUAUAUGUUGAUAUUAUCUUAUCAAUAAUUAUAAUGAAGUCAAUGCAAAUUCAUUGUCAUUGAUGAAUAAGGUUAUUGACAUGACAAAAAUUAUUCGUACAUAUCGACAUGUAUCCACCUUAGCUCCUUCGCAUUGACAUUAACUAUAUUUACACCACCACUCUUUUGAAUAUCUCGAAAUGCAUCAAGUUACCUCAACAAAAUUGAGGUGCACUUUCAUAAACCACAUUAAAAUUAUAACUCUAUCACAAUAAUAUCAUCAUAUUAACACCACAACUUACGCAUCAUGAUAUCACAACAAAAUUGAGAUAUAACUUCACAAUCUAAUCCAAAUGAAAGUAGUACACCACUCUAACCUAGCCUUUAGUACUAGAAUAUGCUAACCGAUCUUGUCUCACCAUAAGAUCAUUUUAUCACUAUAGGAGGUCCUUUCUAACACAAUGCUUAACUCGUGACAGCCACCCCUAUAGCACUUUGUCAAUGUGAGAUCACGGAAAAAAAAAAAAAGCCUCUUCUAGAUUGUCAUCUAGAGGAGGAAAUGACAUCGACUAGAUUGUCAUAUGGAGAAGAAAUUUCCUUGUCGAGAAAGGAUAACUCCAAAUGAGAACAUGCAAAAUAAAACAUUUGUUUAUCUUUACAUAAAUAUUUUUUUUCUCUUUUAUUAUAAGCUUAAUAGACUAAAAUAAAUAUAAAACAUUCUUUGACAUGAGCAUCAAAGAGAUUAUAAAUCAACCUUUAUAUCAUUUGUUUUACGAAGGAUUUCACGAGGUUAAACAAGAAAAUUAAACUCGAUUAUCAUUUCUCAAAAUUAACUUAAUUACAACAAGACUGAUUAAUAGUUAUUAGAGCAACGAUAACUUUUAAGAAUCAUGAAUUUAAUUUUUAUUAAUUUAUAAUAUAAAUAUUUUGUUAAGUAAUAUAUAUAUUUUCGAAAAUAAAGAAUAGAUGUACAAAUAUAACUCUUUAUUGAAGAAAAAAAAUAGAAUUUCUCGAAGAACUUGACAAGAUUAAUUGUUCUUUGCGGUUGAAAAUGAGAACGAUCUCCGAGUAAGUUUCACACACACACAAACAAAGCGAACUUCCACACAAACUCAAUUGUCAACCGAAGAAAAGAAAAAAAAACAAAAAAAAAGGCGAUCAAAGCAGAAAGCAAAGCAGUUGAUACAUUAUUAAUAGUUCAAAGGAAACAUGGAAUUCCCAAAGCACACACACACGACAAAAGAUAUUAUGCGUAAGUCCGCACAUACGAGCACGCACAGCAACUGAUCAAUCGGUCUCCGGUGGCGGCAAGUUAAUGGCUUUCGGCUCAUCCUCAGCACUCUUUUUGGCAUCCUCCUUGCACCAAAGCCCUUCUUUAUUGCAAGGCCAAGAACUUGAUUCCUUGUGCGAUGAACUUUCUUUUCCGCACUUGAAUUUCUCCACGACUCGGAGCUCUGGGAACGAACUUGUCAGCUUCUCCCAGCUGGGAUGAUCCAGAUAAUUGAGGAACCUCAGGCGCAGCACCUCCACCUUCCACCCCCGGCCGUCUCCAAGACUUCGAAGCAUCCCUCCCCUCAGGUACAGUUUUUUCAGCUCUGGUAAUUUAAGGGGAUCAAUCCACUGCGGGAACUCCUCCUCGGUGAAGCACCGGAGAUCCAGCUUCUCUAUCGUACUAGGAAGGGUAACCUUAGCGGGAUCAUGGGAACGAUCCGCUGCAAUCUUCUUGGUUUCUUUCUUCGUCAGUGACCUCGCUCCCGAAGCUUGUCUGUCGGUGGUCGGGCGAGCCUCAUGGUCGGAUUUUAGUUGAACUUUCUUCGUAGUGGCAUCAGCAGCAGCAGCAGCAGUAGCAGUAGCAGCAUCAGAUGAUUGUUUGGACUUCGGUGGGAGAUCUUCGACUGAGUCCUUACCAGUCCCUUGUUGUUUCUUCUCCUGUGAGGGCGCCUCAGCACCUCUGGUGGAAUGAGAGUCUUCCUUCUUCGUUGUAACCACUGCCCAUGUUAUGAUAAGGGUGGUGAGCGUCUUCAACUCGCCCACCUUCUCCAGCUCCGUUUCUGCGAUCCGACUGCCAAUGUUGAUGCUGAGCUUCCUCAACUUGGCCAGCUUGGCCAACUCAUGGAGAUGACAAACAUGUUUGUCAUCAGGCCCACUGAUCAGUAAAAACCCCUUGAGCACUUCCAGAUCGGAGAGGUUGGCGAUGCUCUUGGGCAUCUUGUCGAGCAGGAAGCAGUCCGACACGUCCAGGUACUGCAGCUUCUUGGCGGACCCGAUCUCCUCCGGCAGCUUCUCCAGAUUGUGGCACGCCCGGAGGUCCAACACCAUCAGCUUGGUGAGCUUGCCGAUGGACUCGGGAAGCGUUUCCACCCUCGAUACGCCUCUUAGGCUCAUGUACCGCAAGCUCUUGCAGUGGUCGAUCCCCUUCAAGAACUCGUCGUUCUUGACCUCGAUAUGGUG